rnacentral:rRNA from 1 species
GAGAUGGGUACCUUCCCGCAAGGGACCGGGAUACAGGUGCUGCAUGGCUGUCGUCAGCUCGUGUCGUGAGAUGUUGGGUUAAGUCCCGCAACGAGCGCAACCCUCAUCUUCAGUUGCCAUCAGGUUAAGCUGGGCACUCUGAAGAAACUGCCGGUGACAAGCCGGAGGAAGGCGGGGAUGACGUCAAGUCCUCAUGGCCUUUAUGGGCUGGGCUACACACGUGCUACAAUGGCGGUGACAAUGGGACGCGAAGGGGCAACCCUUGGCCAAUCUCAAAAAGCCGUCUCAGUUCGGAUUGUCCUCUGCAACUCGAGGGCAUGAAGCUGGAAUCGCUAGUAAUCGCGGAUCAGCACGCCGCGGUGAAUACGUUCCCGGGCCUUGUACACACCGCCCGUCACACCAUGGGAGUUGGUUUUACCCGAAGGCGACGCGCCAACCGCAAGGAGGCAGUCGACCACGGUAAGGUCAGCGACUGGGGUGAAGUCGUAACAAGGUAACCGUAA